AACGAACGCUGGCGGCAGGCCUAACACAUGCAAGUCGAGCGAACCCUUCGGGGUUAGCGGCGGACGGGUUAGUAACGCGUGGGAAUAUACCCUUUGGUACGGAAUAGCCUCGGGAAACUGAGAGUAAUACCGUAUGUGCCCUUGGGGAAAGAUUAUCGCCAAAGGAUUAGCCCGCGUUGGAUUAGAUAGUUGGUGGGGUAAUGGCCUACCAAGUCUACGAUCCAUAGCUGGUUUGAGAGGAUGAUCAGCAACACUGGGACUGAGACACGGCCCAGACUCCUACGGGAGGCAGCAGUGGGGAAUCUUAGACAAUGGGCGCAAGCCUGAUCUAGCCAUGCCGCGUGGACGAUGAAGGCCUUAGGGUUGUAAAGUCCCUUUCAGAUGGAAGAUAAUGACGGUACCAUCAGAAGAAG
rnacentral:rRNA from 1 species